AAACCGUUCAGGGGUAAACCUAAGAAACCCAAAAGAUCGAACGGGGAGAUUCAUCGUCAGCGGCGCUGGCUUCGCGUCGGUGGGCGAUGCUCCGCGGAGCCCUUGCGGAUCCUACCGCGGACACGCUACCGUGCGUCGAUGUCCGGCGCUCGUCGUCGUGCACUUCUCCCCUAGUAGGACGUCGCGACCCGCUGGGUGUCGGUCUACGGCCCGAGUGCGGUGACUGUCGCGUCGCCGGUAAAACGGCACGCGGCAAACCCUCGGUCGCCCGGCCGGCUGCCCGGCGGUACACGCAUGGUAUCAGGCCGCACUCUUCUCACGUGUGCGUCGGGACCGUCGCAAGCGCGCGCCACGGUACUCGGAGGUUACGGACCUAGCGCCGUCCCCGGUCCUGGCCCGCUGUUGGUCGUACGGAACUCCUUCGACAGGCCUGCAAACGAUAUACCGGUCGGCGACGCUACUGCUUUGGGUACUCUUAGGA
rnacentral:rRNA from 1 species